rnacentral:rRNA from 1 species
UACAGAGGGUGCAAGCGUUGCUCGGAAUCAUUGGGCGUAAAGGGCAGGUAGGUGGUCUGAUUUGUCUGGAGGUGAAAGCCUUGGGCUUAACCCAAGAAGUGCCCCGGAAACGGUCAGACUUAGAGUCUUGGAGAGGGUGGCGGAAUUCCCGGUGUAGCGGUGAAAUGCGUAGAGAUCCGGAGGAACACCAGCGGCGAAGGCGGCAUCCUGGACUGGUCCUGACACUCAUGAGCGAAAGCGUGGGGAGCGAUCCGG